rnacentral:lncRNA from 1 species
ACCCAGCUCAGCAAAAGUGACUCAUUGAGCUGUUAUUUACAGGCCAAAAUUCCAAAGUUUCUUUUGAAAAGUAGAAAUCUCGGAAUCCACAGGCCAUGGCCACCCCGUCCAAUAUCAUCUCUCCCUGUUGUGCAGCUCACAGCCUACCCAGCACCUUCGAGUCCUCCUCCACCCAACGGGCUCCCCGAGGCUCAUAUUUCAACACACUCACAAGGCCCUUCCAACGUGCCCCUCAAGUUAUGAGUUGGAAAUGCCAGCAGGAAUGGAAAAUCCAGGGCACAGCCAGGAGCGCAGUCCGGCGAUACCGUAGAGCAACACAGCCUACCUGGCCUGUCACAGUAAGAGCUUUUUUGGAGUGCUAAUGCGAUCCCAUCGUUGCACUGCUCCUGUUUCAGUGACACAGCACAGGGACCCGACUCCUCCCUACCACCAAGCGGGCAGCAAGAUUGGACAGAGAGGAACUGUAUCUCAUCCAACCUCUCAUCCCUGUUAAAUCGAUUUCCUUCUGUAAGCCUUCUCCCCGAUGCCAGCCUCAGAGUCCUGGAGAGGUCACAGAUUAACAGCGAAAGGUCAGAAGCUGUUCUGACUUCUCGGCCAGGCUGCUCCCUUGUAGAAACAACUAAGACAAAGAGGGCCAAAGGAAAGAACUGCUGACAAGGGCUGCUGCAGUCUGGUAAAACAGUGGAAAGGGGAACAGAUUCGAGCACAACUGGCACUGAGAAUGCCCAAGCCACAGCGCUGCUGAUGACAGCCACCACUCGGCAGAGGCGGUGCUGGCUCACCAAGGAAAAUGCAAGUCAUGGCCACAGGGAGGGGAGGCUGGGCCACUCCAGAGAGUGCCUCUCCGAGCUGUGGCACAUCUGAAACCAAAGCCUUAAGCAGAAAGUAGAGGUGCCAGGAAUUAUGGGUGAGGGAGCAUGUGGAGAAAGAGGGCUCACAGACUUAAGGGACACAAAAAUAUCUGCCAUGAUGGCUCUCCUGUGACUUUAGAAUAUGAAGGUUUCAGACAUAAUCCCCAGAGACCUUUCAAAGUGUAGAGCACCAAAUAUGUACCUGUUUAAAAAAUGUAGGCUAAUAGUUCUGUAACCCUAGUUAUUCUCGCUUUUGUGAGAGGAAAUUGGAAUCGAGAGGAGUUGGAAUUGAAUGGUGGCUCUGAGCUACUAACUUUUCUUCCAGAUAGCAAGCAUCUAGGAAAUAACUGAUCAAAAGUAGUUAUGGGAAUGCUCAGCCCUGAGAACCAUUCAACCACCUAAAGGUCAGUCUGGAAAAUGCUUCCUUCUGAACUAAACUUCCUUUAACUCUCACCCAAUAGCUCUCUCAUUCUUGCCGUAUCUGAACUCACCUUCACUGAGCCUUUAUUUCCUAGAUCCUUCUCUUAUCUCCCUAUCCCUCAGUGUCCUUCUGGCUUCUUUUGCUCCCUACUCAGCUAGGAAAUCAUCAGAAAUGAUCUAAACAGGAUUUUACCAGAGCUUUAGAACUGCUAACCCCACAGCUGCCUCCUGGGGCUGGAUUAUCUGUCACUAAAUUUGGGACUUCCUUACUUUUUCAUCACUCUGUUUCACUCCUGCCAAAGAAUGUGGGACAAACAAUUAAAGCACAUGGAUGUCACCUCAUGUGUCAUUUGCUGUAAUACCUGGCUUAACUCACUCCUUACCUAUAAUUCUCCUGGUUAAUUUUUCCCAUUGUUCCACCUGACUUCUAACACCACCAUCUCUGCAGACACAAGUUACUCUGACACUUUUACCUCUGAAGACAAGCUCAUCUCUAAGAAGUGUAGGUCAUUUUGGGGGGCUCAAAUGUCUCUAUACUUUUCACCACAGUUUUACUUUCCUUUCAGUCUGAACUUUUUUUAUAUACAGUUAUACCGGAGCUCCUCAUCUUCCAGCUUCUCACCUUCUCCAGGAUCUUACUCCAUCAACUUAUCCUCUCUUAUGCGGAAUUUCCUUCUCAUCUGCUGCUACCUCUGUUCUCUCUCUUGUAGCCAGGUCUCCUAGAGCAAGAAACAUAAUUUUCCCCAAAUCAUGCUUUAGCUAUUCCUUGUAAGGACAUUCAGAUGAACAAGGCACACAGAAAUACCACAAGAAAAACAAUUUUUAAACCUUGUAGAAACAAACUAUCAUGAUCCACAAAAGAAGUGAAUAAACUACCAUGAGGAAGGGUCAACAGAUUGAUGGAUUAGAAUGUUACUAUUCAAAGUAAGGAAGAAUUCUCCUUUUCCCACCAAUCAAAAACUAAUGUCCUUCCAAAUUAACAUUAGAUCCUUUUUUUAAUAUCCCAAUUGAUACUCAACAUGUUAUUAUAAGAAUUCAUAUUUUUGAAGCACAUUUGAAUAUAUACUUUAUGACAGAUAUUAUAAUUUGUUUGCAAUAUUAAAACAUGGUUAUUUCUGUGCUUAUCCCUUUGACUAAAAAAAAACAAAGGGAGAGAGCAAGCUGAAACACACUUAAAAAAUAGCAUAUUCUAAGUUAUUAAGCCAUUUUAAAAGUCAAAAUCAUAAAUUAAAAGUGUGAAAAGAGUAAAUUUUAAUAGAAUUUUUAAGUAUGAACAGUAGUGUUUAAAAUGAAAAGCUCAAAGCAGACUAAACAGAGUUGAAGGGAUUGUUAAUAAAAAGAAGAUAGCUCUAAAGAAAUUAUGCAAAAUAUAGCAAAGAAAGAGGGUCUUGAAUGUCCCUCAGUGGCCCAUGUUUCCAAGGUCUCAUCCCCAGCCUGAGAUGCUGUUUGGAAGUGGUGGGAACUCCAGGAGGUAGGGUUCAGUAAAAGGCAGUUAGGCCACUGGGGUCAGCCUUGAAGGGGACACUGGGAUCUUAGCACAUUUAUGUCUCACCCUAGCCUCUUCCCACCUCAUCCUAGCCUCUUCCUGUCUCUCUUUUUGCCUCCCAGCUGCAAUGAGGUGAGCAGUUUUCUCCACCUUGUGCUCCCACCAUGAUGUGCUGCCUCACCACAGGCCCAAAAGCAACAGGGCCAACCAAUCAUGGACCAAAGCCUAUGAAACUGUGACCCAAAAGAAAACUUUCCUUUUAAGAUGAUUUAUCUCACGUAUUUGUUGCAGGAACAGAAAUUUGGCUUACACAGAUAGGAAAUGGGAAAUUCCUUAAGAGAUGUAAAGGACCAAAGCACAUCUCCAGAAAGAGAAAAAUGAGAGAAUGAGGGUGAGGCAACAUUUGAAAAGACAGUGGGUGAGAUUUUUCAAGAACUGAAUGAUGCACAAUUUUUCAGAGUGAAAAAGUACCCAAAUGCUGAGGAGGCUAAAUAAAAAUAAGUCUACUCCUAGACACAUUGUGAUAAAAUUGCAGAAUAUCAAUAAAACAACAGAAAAAUCUCUCCAGAAAAUACAUAGAAGAGGCAAAUUACAAUGCAAUGACAGCUAAGUUGGCAACAGAUUUCCUAUUAGCAACAAUAGGUUCCACAGGAAAAGGAAACAGAAUUUCAAAUCCAUUGUAAGAAUAUGACUGUCAACCUAGAGUCCUGUACCUAACUAAAGUAAAAUUUGAGAAAGUGCCAAACAGAUAUUUAUGGACAAACAUAAGAAGAAUUUUCCAUUCACAGACUCACUGAAUUGCCUACUGAAAAUGCACCUUAUUAAGAAAAAAAUUUGGGGAGGCUGAGGCAGGAGGAUCGGCACCAGUUCGAGGCCAGCCUGGGCUACACAGUGAGUUCAAGUCCAGCCUGAACUACAUAGUGAGACCCUGUCUCAAAAAAAAAAAAAAAAAAAAAGUCCAGAACAAAGAAUAAAAGGCAAGAUGCAAUGAUGAACACAAAAAGCAGUACAUAUGUCAACAAAUAUAAAUAGCAAACAAAGCAUAAUAAUACGAAUACUUAUUGGGGUGAAUAAGAUAAAAGAAAAUAGUAGUCACCACAAUAAGGAAAUGGAAGAAGAGCUAAGUUUAAAAAGUAGACUUCUCAGAUGAAUGGAAGAAGAAAAUGUGAGUGGUGUGGUUUAGAUGUUGAAUGUCCCCAGAGGCCCAUAUGUCAAAGUCUUGGUCUCAAGUGUGGGGAAGACUCAAUAUUCUAUAGAGAAACAUUCUCCAAGUCAACCUUUAAAUUCAGUAAAAGUGCAGUGAAACCCCAAAUAAUUUUGAUUGGAAUUUGAAUAAAAUCCAAAGGAAAAAGCGG